CUCAGGAAACUUACAUUCAUGGUGGAAGGCGAAGGGGAAGCAAGUAUGUCUUACCAUGGCAAAACAAGAGAGGGAGAGAGAAAGAGAGAGAGAAGAAAGCCACACACUUUUAAAUCAUAUAAAUAAAUUAAAAUAUCAGUAUGAGCAAUUUAUUGAGAAAUAUAGAAGUACCUAUCAGAGAAACAAAAUUAGAAAUAGUGGUUUCUUCCAGGGAAAACAACUACAGUUUUUCCUCACGGAAUAAAACAACUUCUUUCACGUUAUUUUAUUUUUGAGGAUAUUACUUUGCACAUACUAGUUUGAUAAGCCAGAGAAAGGAAGAUGCAACAUCAGCAAUUUAGUUUCAGGAAAACAACAUCAUCCAUUGCAUUAAAUAAAAUGUAGCCAAUUUGGAUUCCAUUGGCAUUGUAACUUUGAUCAUAUUUAACUUGUAAAUUUGUUUUGAUUUUAUAAUAGAAUAAAAGCAUAAGGAUUGUAUAUUCAGUUUAAUGUAUGUACAUUUCAAAAUAUCAUUAGAAUAAAAAAUGCUGUGUGUCAACUCUGAGAGGCCAAACCAUUUUUUUUUCUAUCAUUAC
rnacentral:lncRNA from 1 species